rnacentral:rRNA from 1 species
UAGCCCCGGGGGAAAGGAGGGGAUCGUAAGACCUUUCGCUAAUAGAUGACCUUGGAUUAGCUAGUUGGUGGGGUAAAUGCCUACCAAGGCAACGUCCGCUGGUCUGAGAGGACGAUCAGCCACACUGGAACUGAGACACGUCCCUCCUACGGGAGGCAGCAGUGGGGAAUAUUGGACAAUGGGCGAAGCAUCCAGCAAUACCGCGUGUGUGAAGAAGGCCUUAAGGUUGUAAGCAUCAAUUGGGAGGAAAACCUCAUAGCUAAUAUCUAUGAGCUUGAAUUCUUUAGAAGAAGCACCGGCUAACUUCGUGCCAGCAGCCGCGGUAU